rnacentral:rRNA from 1 species
UCGACCUGAGAUUAGAUAAGAUUACCCGCCGAAUUUAAGCAUAUUAAUAAGCGGAGGAAAAGAAAACAACUGUGAUUCCCCUAGUAAUGGCGAAUGAACCGGGAACAGCCCAUCGCGUAACUGCAGGUCAUCUUGGCCUCGCGGAAUGUCGCGUUUGGGAGAGUCUCAUCGGGAGCCGGACGGCCAGUCAAAGUCCAACUUGACAGUGGCCACUGCCCAUAGAGGGUGAUAGGCCCGUAAGGCGGCCGUCCGUUUCCGCCGACUUUUCCCUAGAGUCGGGUUGCUUGGGAGUGCAGCCCAAAGUGCGAGGUAAACUCCUCGUAAGGCUAAAUACGACCCCGAGACCGAUAGCAAACAAGUACCGUGAGGGAAAAUUGAAAAGAACUUUGAAGAGAGAGUUCAAGAGUACGUGAAACUGUGUGGUGGUAAACGGAGGGGUUCUCGAAGUCUCUGUGGGGAACUCAGCCUCGGUGUCGGGCGGUCAGGGUGUGUCCGAUCAGCAAUGACGGCGCUCUCUGUCUGGCUUGGCUCCUGGGUGCAUUUUCUCCGCAGUUUACGGCAGGAACCGUUUGGCUCGGAUCGAAGGCCCUGGGUGAAGUUGUCGGUUCUGCUGGCAGCCCCGGGUGUCCUGCUCCGCGCCCGACGGGUACGUGAGAGGACUCGUAUAGCGAGCAACGCUCUGUUGCGU